rnacentral:rRNA from 1 species
CAGCCGCCACGGGAAUACGAAGGGGGCUAGCGUUGUUCGGAUUUACUGGGCGUAAAGGGCGCGUAGGCGGACUGAUAAGUCAGGGGUGAAAUCCCAAGGCUCAACCUUGGAACUGCCUUUGAUACUGUUUGUCUUGAGUUCGAGAGAGGUAAGUGGAACUGCGAGUGUAGAGGUGAAAUUCGUAGAUAUCCGCAAGAACACCAGUGGCGAAGGCGGCUUACUGGCUCGAAACUGACGCUGAGGCGCGAAAGCGUGGGGAGCAAACAGGAUUAGAUACCCGAGUAGUCCCUGUCUCUUAUAC